CGUAUAGGCUGGGGGUGCUUGCCGCGCGGCGGCAGGCUGAGAAUCACCCUUUGAACCUGAUUCCGGUUAAUACCGGCGUAGGAAAGCCCUAACUUCCUUGC
rnacentral:ncRNA from 2 species